CUUUAGGCACAGACCUAAUCUGUCCAAAACCGAACCUGUAAGCAAAUCUUACUAUUAUAAAAGUGUUGUAAUGAGGUGAUAGUUUGAAGACCAUUUUACCCUUUAAGAAAUUCAAUAUUAACAAUUUUGCCUUUUCACCUUUAUUUAAUUUUCUGUCUUAAUUGACAACUCAUCUCAAAAAGUGUAAUAGUCAAUUGACAGCUAAUGUUUUGGUUAAUGUAAUGCUUUUAAUAAUUCUCUGUCUUAAUUGACAACUCAUCUCAAAAAGUGUAAUAGUCAUUUGACAGCUCAUGUUUUGGUUAAUGUAAUGCUUUUAAUAUAUUAAAUAUUUUCCAUUUUACCCUUUAAGAAAUUCAAAAGCUCAAAAAGUGUAACAAUUGACAGCAAAGCGUAAAGGUAUAUUUAAUGCUUUUAAUUAAGAUUUUCAAUUAAGAUUUUCAAGGUAAAAUAAGUGUAAGAGUCAAUAUUAGAUUAUAUUAACAGCUCACAUAUUCCUAUUUUCUAAUAUUAUAUUAUAUUUAAUUCUUUCUCCUAAUAUUUUGAAGGUGAAUAUAUUAAUCCUCUUUUGAUAUUUCUGAAAGUUUCCUUUUAAAUAUUUAUCUCUUCCUCUUCUUCUCUCUUCCUCUUCUUCUCUCUCUCAGUUUCUCUGCAAUUACUGUGUAUAGUUGGGAAAUGAUGAAGACAACAAAUAACAACGUCCAUUAGAUCAAUGACAAGAGAAGGCUUGCGAUGGCAGCAACCACCACCAGCACCACCGAAUUCAUCACGGCGGUCAAUAUUGUCGACAUGCAGACCUCCACCAGGCAUGUUCUAAUUCUGUUUUGGUGGAUUUGUAUUACAAAAUUAUCUCAUACCUUUAAAGGUUAAUUCUUUGAAUUGUAAAAUAUAUUUACAGUAACUGAUGUUCUUGUUUUAUUUCAAUUAUUGGUAAAGAUUUCAAAUUUUUGUUUUAAGGGGUUCAUUUAUUUAUUUUGUUAGUUUGCUCUGCUAUCAUCCAAAUAACUUUGUAAUUAAUUGGGUUCUAAAUUUUUAUUAUAUACAUAUUCAUGGA